GCGCAGCAGGCGAGAAUUUUUCACAAUGGGGGAAACCCUGAUGGAGCGACGCCGCGUGGAGGAUGAAGGCCUUUUGGUCGUAAACUCCUGUCAAACGGGAACAAGAAAGUGAUAGUACCGUUAGAGGAAGAGGCGGCUAACUCUGUGCCAGCAGCCGCGGUAAUACAGAGGCCUCAAGCGUUGUUCGGAUUCAUUGGGCGUAAAGGGUGCGUAGGUGGCUUGUUAAGUUGAAGGUGAAAUCUCGGGGCUCAACUCCGAAACUGCCUUCAAUACUGGCGAGCUCGAGGAUUGUAGAGGAGAAUGGAAUUCACGGUGUAGCAGUGAGAUGCGUAGAUAUCGUGAGGAAGACCAGUGGCGAAGGCGAUUCUCUGGGCAAUUCCUGACACUGAGGCACGAAGGCCAGGGGAGCAAACGGGAUUAGAUACCCCGGUAGU
rnacentral:rRNA from 1 species